AGUGAACGCUGGCGGUAGGCCUAACACAUGCAAGUCGAACGGCAGCACAGUAAGAGCUUGCUCUUACGGGUGGCGAGUGGCGGACGGGUGAGGAAUACAUCGGAAUCUACUUUUUCGUGGGGGAUAACGUAGGGAAACUUACGCUAAUACCGCAUACGACCUACGGGUGAAAGCAGGGGAUCUUCGGACCUUGCGCGAUUGAAUGAGCCGAUGUCGGAUUAGCUAGUUGGCGGGGUAAAGGCCCACCAAGGCGACGAUCCGUAGCUGGUCUGAGAGGAUGAUCAGCCACACUGGAAGUGAGACACGGUCCAGACUCCUACGGGAGGCAGCAGUGGGGAAUAUUGGACAAUGGGCGCAAGCCUGAUCCAGCGAUACCGCGUGGGUGAAGAAGGCCUUCGGGUUGUAAAGCCCUUUUGUUGGGAAAGAAAAGCAGCAGGUUAAUACCCCGCUGUUCUGACGGUACCCAAAGAAUAAGCACCGGCUAACUUCGUG
rnacentral:rRNA from 1 species